rnacentral:lncRNA from 1 species
AUCUGCUUCUUUGUUCUCCUUACUUUUCUUGGCUCAGUUCUGAUUGAAUUUGAGCUUGUUGUUGAUGGUGUGAUGGAAAAAGAUGAUGAUGCUUGUGAAGUUAUCAUGAGGGUGAUGAUCUAACUCUACUUGCUACGUCCUUAAUUUUCUCCACUUGUUAUCUUUGAUUUUUCUUUCUUAAAGAACUUGUUUGCUGUGUGUUUGCAUCAAUCAAGAUGAUGAAUCAAGAAAAUCUUAGGACACUUCUGACACAGUACGAGAGGUUGCUGUGUGUGAGAAGGAUUCCCGAUUCUGAUAUGAUUGAUCGAUGAAUGAUUGUUAAUCAAUAUAUAAUAUAAUAGAUAGAUGUAUAGAAUAUAGAUUCAAGAUUUUGUGUUUAAAAGAAUCUGUUUUUAUUAUUAUUAUUAUUAUUAUUAUUAUUAUUAUUAUUUUGGUUUGAUUUCAUCUGGUGAAACUUAAGUUACAUACUUCCCAACAGAGCCCCAAUACUGCAGCUAAUGAAGAUGGAGUGCCUUGGAAUCAUG